GCCGGUGUGGUGGAAUUGGUAGACACAAGGGACUUAAAAUCCCUCGGUAGUGAUACCGUGCCGGUUCGAGCCCGGCCACCGGCACCA
rnacentral:tRNA from 1 species